UACGUAGGUGGCAAGCGUUGUCCGGAUUUACUGGGCGUAAAGAGCGCGCAGGCGGUCGAUCAAGUCGCGUGUGAGAGCCCCCGGCUCAACUGGGGAGGGUCACGCGAUACUGAUCGACUCGAAGGCAGGAGAGGGUAGUGGAAUUCCCGGUGUAGUGGUGAAAUGCGUAGAUAUCGGGAGGAACACCAGUGGCGAAGGCGACUACCUGGCCUGUUCUUGACGCUGAGGCGCGAAAGCUAGGGGAGCAAACGGG
rnacentral:rRNA from 1 species